rnacentral:rRNA from 1 species
GAUGAACGCUGGCGGCGUGCUUAACACAUGCAAGUCGAACGAGAAAUGUAGACGGAAACCUUCGGGCGGAAGCCUUCAUUUCGAGUGGCGGACGGGUGAGUAACGCGUGGGUAACCUGCCUCAUACAGGGGGAUAACAGUUGGAAACGACUGUUAAUACCGCAUAAGACCACAGCAUCGCAUGAUGCGGGGGUAAAAACUCCGGUGGUAUGAGAUGGACCCGCGUUCGAUUAGCCAGUUGGCGGGGUAACGGCCCACCAAAGCGACGAUCGAUAGCCGAUCUGAGAGGAUGACCGGCCACAUUGGGACUGAGACACGGCCCAAACUCCUACGGGAGGCAGCAGUGGGGAAUAUUGCACAAUGGGGGAAACCCUGAUGCAGCGACGCCGCGUGAGUGAAGAAGUACUUCGGUAUGUAAAGCUCUAUCAGCAGGGAAGAAAAUGACGGUACCUGAGUAAGAAGCCCCGGCUAACUACGUG